rnacentral:rRNA from 1 species
GCGGCCGCAGAGUUUGAUCAUGGCUCAGGACGAACGCUGGCGGCGUGCCUAAUACAUGCAAGUCGAACGAACUCUGGUAUUGAUUGGUGCUUGCAUCAUGAUUUACAUUUGAGUGAGUGGCGAACUGGUGAGUAACACGUGGGAAACCUGCCCAGAAGCGGGGGAUAACACCUGGAAACAGAUGCUAAUACCGCAUAACAACUUGGACCGCAUGGUCCGAGUUUGAAAGAUGGCUUCGGCUAUCACUUUUGGAUGGUCCCGCGGCGUAUUAGCUAGAUGGUGGGGUAACGGCUCACCAUGGCAAUGAUACGUAGCCGACCUGAGAGGGUAAUCGGCCACAUUGGGACUGAGACACGGCCCAAACUCCUACGGGAGGCAGCAGUAGGGAAUCUUCCACAAUGGACGAAAGUCUGAUGGAGCAACGCCGCGUGAGUGAAGAAGGGUUUCGGCUCGUAAAACUCUGUUGUUAAAGAAGAACAUAUCUGAGAGUAACUGUUCAGGUAUUGACGGUAUUUAACCAGAAAGCCACGGCUAACUACGUGCCAGCAGCCGCGGUAAUACGUAGGUGGCAAGCGUUGUCCGGAUUUAUUGGGCGUAAAGCGAGCGCAGGCGGUUUUUUAAGUCUGAUGUGAAAGCCUUCGGCUCAACCGAAGAAGUGCAUCGGAAACUGGGAAACUUGAGUGCAGAAGAGGACAGUGGAACUCCAUGUGUAGCGGUGAAAUGCGUAGAUAUAUGGAAGAACACCAGUGGCGAAGGCGGCUGUCUGGUCUGUAACUGACGCUGAGGCUCGAAAGUAUGGGUAGCAAACAGGAUUAGAUACCCCUGGGUAGUACCAUACCGUAAACGAUGAAAUGCUAAAGUGUUGGAGGGUUUCCCGCCCUUCAGUGCUGCAGCUAACGCAUUAAGCAUUCCGCCUGGGGAGUACGCCCGCAAGGCUGAAACUCAAAGGAAUUGACGGGGGCCCGCACAAGCGGUGGAGCAUGUGGUUUAAUUCGAAGCUACGCGAAGAACCUUACCAGGUCUUGACAUACUAUGCAAAUCUAAGAGAUUAGACGUUCCCUUCGGGGACAUGGAUACAGGUGGUGCAUGGUUGUCGUCAGCUCGUGUCGUGAGAUGUUGGGUUAAGUCCCGCAACGAGCGCAACCCUUAUUAUCAGUUGCCAGCAUUAAGUUGGGCACUCUGGUGAGACUGCCGGUGACAAACCGGAGGAAGGUGGGGAUGACGUCAAAUCAUCAUGCCCCUUAUGACCUGGGCUACACACGUGCUACAAUGGAUGGUACAACGAGUUGCGAACUCGCGAGAGUAAGCUAAUCUCUUAAAGCCAUUCUCAGUUCGGAUUGUAGGCUGCAACUCGCCUACAUGAAGUCGGAAUCGCUAGUAAUCGCGGAUCAGCAUGCCGCGGUGAAUACGUUCCCGGGCCUUGUACACACCGCCCGUCACACCAUGAGAGUUUGUAACACCCAAAGUCGGUGGGGUAACCUUUUAGGAACCAGCCGCCUAAGGUGGGACAGAUGAUUAGGGUGAAGUCGUAACAAGGUAACCGUAGCGGCCGC